CUCUAGCCUCCGUCGCAGUCUCCGGCUUCUGAGUGAGAAAGAAAAUAUUAAUGUAGAUUUAUUUUGAUUAAGGAAUUAAUUUUUUCAACUGGCACUAUCAUAUCAGGUUCUAAUCGAAGCAAUCAAUUGUUAGGGGUUUAUCAUGCAUUAAAUAAAAAUUUAAAAAAUUUUAGAAUAUGUUUAAUAUAAAAUUCAAUUGUAUAUAAUAAUAAAUUUAAUAGCACUUAAAUUGUACCUCCUAAGUCUCCUCCCUCCGCCCGUGUCGUCAAGUAUUACCAAAUCUCUGUUUUUCCAAGAACAGCAUUGUUUAAUUUUCUUUCAUCAUUAUUCACAUCUGUGUUUUUGGAUUGGGGAAGAGAGUUGGAGUUAGGGAGACACGGACUGAAGUUGUUAAAGAGAAAUCCGUCUUCGUUUAUGCACUGUAUAGAUGGAAGCUAACUUCUGUUAGGACCUCAUAAGGACCUUAAUCAUUCUGAGAUUUCCAAGUUCUUCAUUCGAGAUGCAGAUGCUUAUCCCAGGUUCUAUUGGCCCCAUGUUUCCUCUUUUUAGUUAUUAAUGAUUUUGAUCUUGCAUUUUAUUAAAGAGACUGAAGUUUGAGCUAUUGAAGAUUAUCAUUAUUGAUUGAUGUUAUUGUAAUAUAAGCAAAUUUGAUCAUGGUAAUUCAUGUUCCUUUUUAGAUAGAAAUAAUUGUAUUCAUAGUUUGAAGUAGUACUGCAAAUUGAUGCUGGGCUUAGCUUACAAGGUGGGCACCCAAAUAAAGAUCAUGAACUAUCACUGAGAGCAGAAACUGGCCAAAUUUAGUAGGCUUCAUUUUACACAAAAUCAUUUUCAAGAUGAUGUUGAUAUAGUUAACCUAUAAUGUUUUUAACUCUUGGUUUAAUCCUAGUAGUUUGACAUGGGUGUAUAACAUUCUCCAGUUUAAAUGAUUUUUCUUGAUUCUUCAUAUGUCUGUGGUUAAUAUCCUUAGCCUUGUCUUUUAGAGUAGGUGUAUUUUCUUAUAUCUAUACUAAUUCUCAACUCUUUUUAUUUUUUCCUGAUUUUCUAAAUUGAGUAAAUUACAAUAUGCCGGUAUGAGAAUCAGCUAGAGAACUUCUGCAAGUUUAUGGAUCCACUUUUGGAUUCACCUCCUCCAGAAUCUUUGCAUAGUAUCUCAUCUUUAAUGCUGGUUCGAGGACAAAAUACAGAAAUCAGCUUUUUGGGCACGUUUUUCGCGGCAGGCUUUUUCCUUAGGUCAGAGAGAUAUGGUGGACUUCAUGGACCUUUUAUUGUCUCCAGCUUCAAAGGUUUUGAAUAACUGGUUUGAGUGUUUUUGGAGAUGCACUGGCUUCAAAUCUUGUAAAGUUUUACUGACCUUGGCAUAUUUUUCCUCUGCUGCUGAAUUUACAGACGGAUGUUCUGAAGGCAACCCUUGCAACAGAUGCUGUAAUAGGUACCACG